AGAGUUUGAUCAUGGCUCAGAUUGAACGCUGGCGGCAUGCUUUACACAUGCAAGUCGAACGGCAGCACAGGGAGCUUGCUCCCGGGUGGCGAGUGGCGCACGGGUGAGUAGUACAUCGGAACGUGUCCUGUUGUGGGGGAUAACUGCUCGAAAGGGUGGCUAAUACCGCAUGAGACCUGAGGGUGAAAGCGGGGGAUCGCAAGACCUCGCGCAGUUGGAGCGGCCGAUGCCCGAUUAGCUAGUUGGUGAGGUAAAGGCUCACCAAGGCGACGAUCGGUAGCUGGUCUGAGAGGACGACCAGCCACACCGGGACUGAGACACGGCCCAGACGUCCGUAACGGGGGCAC
rnacentral:rRNA from 1 species